rnacentral:lncRNA from 1 species
CAAAAUGCAAGUUGGAGAGAAGCCUUCUAAUCACUCAGGUCUGAGUCCUUUUUUUGUUGGUGAAAAACAUUUACAUUCCAUAGCAGUUAAUAGCCCGGUUAGAUCUUACACACAAACAAAAAGUACUUCUCAAAAACACUACGAAUUCUCAGAAGUGGGAAAACAUAGAAGAGGAUGAAACUGUGAGGAUACUGAAAAACCCUGCUUGUUGUACAUUGUCAUUCAUCAUCCAGCCCCAGCAGUGUGCUCUUGCAGCACAGAAGGCCAACAGUAUCCUGGGCUGCAUCAAAAGAGGCAUGGCCUGCAGGGAGAGGGAGUUGAUGGUCCCCCUCUGCUUUGCUCUUCUGAGCCCAAUCUGGACUACUGCAUUCAGGCCUGGAGUCUCAUGCUCUAGAAGGAUGAGUUGCUGUUAGAGCAGGUCCAGAGGAGAGACACGAGGAUGAUUUGUGGGCUGGAGCACCUUUCCUAUGAAGAA